GGAGGAAGUAGGGGAUCGCAAGACCUUGCGCUUUUGGAGCGGCCGAUGUCUGAUUAGCUUGUUGGUAAGGUAAAAGCUUACCAAGGCUUCGAUCAGUAGCUGGUCUGAGAGGACGACCAGCCACACUGGGACUGAGACACGGCCCAGACUCCUACGGGAGGCAGCAGUGGGGAAUUUUGGACAAUGGGGGCAACCCUGAUCCAGCCAUGCCGCGUGAGUGAAGAAGGCCUUCGGGUUGUAAAGCUCUUUCAGCCGGAACGAAACGGUUACGGUUAAUACCCGUGACUACUGACGGUACCGGAAGAAGAAGCACCGGCUAACUACGUGCCAGCAGCCGCGGUAAUACGUAGGGUGCGAGCGUUAAUCGGAAUUACUGGGCGUAAAGCGUGCGCAGGUGGUUUUGUAAGUCAGAUGUGAAAUCCCCGGGCUCAACCUGGGAACUGCGUUUGAAACUACAAAGCUAG
rnacentral:rRNA from 1 species